rnacentral:rRNA from 1 species
CAGGCCUAACACAAAACAAGKCGAACGAAGCAACUUAUCACGAUUCCUUCGGGGUGACGAUUUGUUGACUGAGUGGCGGACGGGUGAGUAACGCGUGGGUAACCUGCCUUGUACAGGGGGACAACAGUUGGAAACGACUGCUAAUACCGCAUAAGCGCACGAUGUCGCAUGACAAAGUGUGAAAAGAUUUAUCGGUACAAGAUGGACCCGCGUCUGAUUAGCUAGUUGGUGAGGUAACGGCCCACCAAGGCGACGAUCAGUAGCCGGCCUGAGAGGGCAAACGGCCACAUUGGGACUGAGACACGGCCCAAACUCCUACGGGAGGCAGCAGUGGGGAAUAUUGCACAAUGGGCGAAAGCCUGAUGCAGCGACGCCGCGUGAGCGAAGAAGUAUUUCGGUAUGUAAAGCUCUAUCAGCAGGGAAGAUAAUGACGGUACCUGACUAAGAAGCACCGGCUAAAUACGUGCCAGCAGCCGCGGUAAUACGGAAGGUCCGGGCGUUAUCCGGAUUUAUUGGGUUUAAAGGGAGCGCAGGCGGCCUUUUAAGCGUGACGUGAAAUGUAGGCGCUCAACGUCUGAAUUGCGUCGCGAACUGUUAGGCUUGAGUAGACGGAAUGUCGGCGGAAUUCGUGGUGUAGCGGUGAAAUGCUUAGAUAUCACGAAGAACUCCGAUUGCGAAGGCAGCUGACAGCAGUUUUACUGACGCUCAUGCUCGAAAGUGCGGGUAUCGAACAGGAUUAGAUACCCUGGUAGUCCGCACGGUAAACGAUGGAUGCCCGCUGUUUGCCAUUUAUGGUAAGCGGCCAAGCGAAAGCAUUAAGCACCCCACCUGGGGAGUACGCCGGCAACGGUGAAACUCAAAGGAAUUGACGGGGGCCCGCACAAGCGGAGGAACAUGUGGUUUAAUUCGAUGAUACGCGAGGAACCUUACCCGGGCUCAAACGCGCAGAGACAGUUGCGGAAACGCAAUCUCCCUUCGGGGCCCUGUGCGAGGUGCUGCAUGGUUGUCGUCAGCUCGUGCCGUGAGGUGUCGGCUUAAGUGCCAUAACGAGCGCAACCCCCAUCUCCAGUUGCCACCGCGUUGUGGCGGGCACUCUGGAGAGACUGCCGGCGCAAGCUGUGAGGAAGGCGGGGAUGACGUCAAAUCAGCACGGCCCUUAUGUCCGGGGCGACACACGUGUUACAAUGGCGGGGCACAGAAGGAAGCCAGGCUGCGAGGCCGAGCCGAUCCCGAAAACCCGUCUCAGUUCGGAUCGGAGUCUGCAACCCGACUCCGUGAAGCUGGAUUCGCUAGUAAUCGCGCAUCAGCCAUGGCGCGGUGAAUACGUUCCCGGG